rnacentral:rRNA from 1 species
GCGGCGUGCCUAACACAUGCAAGUCGAACGGGAAAUCUUCGGAUUCUAGUGGCGGACGGGUGAGUAACGCGUAAGAAUCUAACUUCAGGACGGGGACAACAGUUGGAAACGACUGCUAAUACCCGAUGUGCCGCAAGGUGAAACCUAAUUGGCCUGAAGAAGAGCUUGCGUCUGAUUAGCUAGUUGGUGGGGUAAAGGCCUACCAAGGCGACGAUCAGUAGCUGGUCUGAGAGGAUGAGCAGCCACACUGGGACUGAGACACGGCCCAGACUCCUACGGGAGGCAGCAGUGGGGAAUUUUCCGCAAUGGGCGAAAGCCUGACGGAGCAACGCCGCGUGAGGGAGGAAGGUCUUUGGAUUGUAAACCUCUUUUCUCAAGGAAGAAGUUCUGACGGUACUUGAGGAAUCAGCCUCGGCUAACUCCGUGCCAGCAGCCGCGGUAAUACGGGGGAGGCAAGCGUUAUCCGGAAUUAUUGGGCGUAAAGCGUCCGCAGGUGGUCAGCCAAGUCUGCUGUCAAAUCAGGUUGCUUAACGACCUAAAGGCGGUGGAAACUGGCAGACUAGAGAGCAGUAGGGGUAGCAGGAUUCCCAGUGUAGCGGUGAAUGCGUAGAGAUUGGGAAGAACAUCGGUGGCGAAAGCGUGCUACUGGGCUGUAUCUGACNCUCAGGGACGAAAGCUAGGGGAGCGAAAGGGAUUAGAUACCCCUGUAGUCCUAGCCGUAAACGAUGGAUACUAGGCGUG